UGGUGAUCGUUGGCGGAGAACUUCGUUGCCACAGACAGACCUAGAUUACAGAUGUGCGUCUGGAUUUUAAAAAGUAUCAUCACCAUUAUCAUCAUCGUCAUCGUCAUCAUCAUCUAUGUGGGGGGCUUUCUCGACAGAUUCUGAACAACAGUUUUCAACUUAGAGCUUUGAAGAUGAUAGAAGUCCAGAAUAUUCAAAGCUAAUCUGUGUAUUAGAAUGAGCAAUAGGAAGAUCCGUGUCUGGUGGGCAAAAAGGCCCAAAGAAAAUUAAAGAAUACACCAUGCAGAGCUGCUGGUAGGUAACCACGGGGCA
ensembl:processed_transcript 1700003G18Rik RIKEN cDNA 1700003G18 gene